GGGUCGUUAGCUCAGUUGGUCAGAGCGCCACGCUUACACCGUGGAUGUCGGGGGUUCGAGCCCCUCACGACCCA
rnacentral:tRNA from 1 species